rnacentral:rRNA from 1 species
AAUACAGAGGGGGCGAGCGUUGUUCGGAAUUACUGGGCGUAAAGGGCGCGUAGGUGGCCUGUUAAGUCGAACGUGAAAUCCCCGGGCUCAACCCGGGAACUGCGUCCGAGACUGGCAGGCUCGAAUCCGGGAGAGGGAUGUGGAAUUCCAGGUGUAGCGGUGAAAUGCGUAGAUAUCUGGAGGAACACCGGUGGCGAAGGCGGCAUCCUGGACCGGUAUUGACGCUGAGGCGCGAAAGCCAGGGGAGCAAACGG